rnacentral:rRNA from 1 species
AACGAACGCUGGCGGCGUGCCUAACACAUGCAAGUCGAGCGAGAAAGCCCGCAAGGGUGAGUAAAGCGGCGCACGGGUGCGUAACACGUGGGUAAUCUGCCCUGGAGUCCGGAAUAACUCGCCGAAAGGCGUGCUAAUGCCGGAUAAGACCACGGGAACUUCGGUUCCUGCGGGAAAAGGUGGCCUCUGUACACAAGCUAUCACUCCUGGAUGAGCCCGCGGCCCAUCAGCUAGUUGGCGGGGUAACGGCCCACCAAGGCUACGACGGGUAGCUGGUCUAAGAGGACGGUCAGCCACACUGGAACUGGGACACGGUACAGACUCCUCGGGGAGGCAGCAGUGGGGAAUCUUGCGCAAUGGGCGAAAGCCUGACGCAGGAACGCCGCGUGUGUGAUGAAGGUCUUCGGAUCGUAAAGCACUGUCGCGAGGGACGAAUAAGGUGUCGGCUAACAUCCGGCGCCGAUGACGGUACCUCGAGAGGAAGCACCGGCUAACUCUGUGCCAGCAGCAGCCGCCGUAA